AGAAAAAGGAAAAAGGAAAAAGACAGAGCUUUUGGUCUCUGUCUCUGCGUUGAAGUUGCAGAGAUCAAAAGAAGGUAAGGUCAUCAGCAAUGGUGUCCAUUACCAAUCUCUUGAAGGAGCCGAGGCAUUCACAGUUCAUCAAAAAGCUCGUUCCUUGGACCAUUUAUGCCCUUCUCCCCAUCGCCCUCUUCCGCUUGUAUUGUCAUCCAAUCCAUCUCCCAGAUUCUCCCAUUCAUCGAACCCCCCAAAUCAUACCUUCUUCUUCUUCUUCUUCUUUGUCGCCUCCUCAUUUCUCACCUUCCUCUGUUCAUGAAGAAGAAGAAGAAGUUAAUGCGAUUAAUGAAACUCCCUGUGACUACACCGACGGCCAAUGGGUCCCCGACAAACUGGGACCUUUAUACAAUGGCUCAACCUGCGGCACAAUUAAAGACGCCCAAAAUUGCAUCGUUCAUGGCCGCUCUGAUUUGGGCUAUCUCUAUUGGCGAUGGAAGCCCCACAAAUGCUCUCUCCCAAGGUUCGAUCCCAGUAAAUUUUUUCACUUCAUGACUAACAAACACAUCGCCUUCAUCGGCGAUUCAAUGGCGAGGAACCAAUUAGAGUCCCUCCUCUGUAUUUUAGCCUCUGUUUCCACUCCGGAACUCGUUUACACUUCCGGCGAGGACAACAAAUUCCGGCGAUGGAAUUUCCCAUCUCAUAAUCUCACCGUUUCGGUCUACUGGUCGCCGUUUCUCGUCGACGGAAUUGAAAAAUCAAACGCCGGCCCUAACCACAAUGAACUGUUCUUACAUCGCGUAAACGAGAAAUGGGCUGUGGAUUUGGAUGAUUUUAACUUAGUAGUGUUCUCAAUCGGGCAUUGGUAUUUACAUCCCGCAGUGUAUUACGAAGGGGAUGAUUCUAUAAUGGGUUGCCAUUACUGCCCUGGUUUGAACCACACCGAGAUCGGAUUCUACGACGCGUUGAGAAAGGGAUUGAGGACGACAUUUGAGGCUGUAAUCGACAGAAGGGGUUCGUCAAGCAGCAAUGAAUUGGGUAUCUUUUUAGCGACAUUUUCGCCGUCGCAUUUUGAAGGAGAGUGGGACAAGGCAGGGGCGUGUCCUAAAACGAAGCCGUAUAAGGAAAGCGAGAAGAAAUUGGAGGGAAUGGAUGCGGAAAUAAGGGCGAUUGAAGUGGAGGAGGUGGAAGAAGCGAAGGGGAGAGCGAAGCAGAGUGGGGGGCUGAGAAUUGCAGCGUUGGAUGUGACGAAACUUUCAUUGCUGAGGCCUGAUGGGCACCCUGGGCCUUACAUGCAUCCGUUUCCAUACGGCAAUGGCGGCGUUGGGGAGCGGGUUCAGAAUGAUUGCGUUCAUUGGUGCCUGCCUGGGCCUGUGGACACUUGGAAUGAGAUACUCCUGCAGAUCAUGAACACCUGGGAGCAGCAAUCUGGAUUGUGAGAGGAGAUGAAGAAUUGGUUGAUUAUUUGGAGUUGAUUGAAAUAAUGGAAGUCCAAGUGUAACUAUGAGUGAUGACGACACAAUUAGCGAGGUUUGCAUUCUAUGCCCAUCGCCUUCUGGGUUCCCUUUGGAUCUACGCCGCCAUCGCCUCCUUCCCCGCCAUUUCAGACCCAUUUCUUCAUACCCAUUUCCCCUUUUCCUCUUCAAAACCUCUGAACAAUCACACCUUCAAAACCUCAUCGGGGAUUUCAGCUAUUUUCAGGAAUCGGAAUCUGGGUCCAUCUGGGUUCGGGUUAUGAGGGACGAUGAACUCGACCCCAUUGUUGGGCUGCUCGCUCUCCAUCUUCUGAAGCUAUGCUACAUGACAGUUAAAAAGGAGGUUCAGCUUCGGAGAGGCGCAAGCACUUGAUGUGUAAGAAGCUUCCUGCCAUCACCGUCACCACAGCCCUUCUGAACUGAUAUACCAUUUUCUCUUAAAGAAUGAACUUGUGAAUGCUAUAGACAAAUUGUUGCACAUUCUGCUGAGGUAGCUAGAUAUCAUCAUCAUCACAUAAUGAAUUUGUUAACGGAUUCAGCUUCAAACAGCAAAUCUAUGUUGCCUGAGAUAGUAUAUGUCCGUAGUUCACCAAAUCAUUAUGGUUUAUACAUUGGAAGAAUAUGUGUAUCUGAUAAUCUGAUGGAAUCAUAUGACAUUGGGAAGGUUUGUUCUAUAAUCUGUAUUGAUCUCCAGGACCAUUUCGAGAUCGAGUGUGUAUACGAGUUGAUGAGCUGAAAACUUCUGUAAUGGCCCAAGUCCACCGCUAGCCGAUAUUAUGCUCUUUGGGCUUUCUCUCAAUAUUUUUUUAACACAUCUGCU